AUUGAACGCUGGCGGCAGGCCUAACACAUGCAAGUCGGACGGUAGCACAGAGAGCUUGCUCUUGGGUGACGAGUGGCGGACGGGUGAGUAAUGUCUGGGGAUCUGCCCGAUAGAGGGGGAUAACCACUGGAAACGGUGGCUAAUACCGCAUAACGUCGCAAGACCAAAGAGGGGGACCUUCGGGCCUCUCACUAUCGGAUGAACCCAGAUGGGAUUAGCUAGUAGGCGGGGUAAUGGCCCACCUAGGCGACGAUCCCUAGCUGGUCUGAGAGGAUGACCGGCCACACUGGAACUGAGACACGGUCCAGACUCCUACGGGAGGCAGCAGUGGGGAAUAUUGCACAAUGGGCGCAAGCCUGAUGCAGCCAUGCCGCGUGUAUGAAGAAGGCCUUCGGGUUGUAAAGUACUUUCAGCGGGGAGGAAGGCGGUGCGGUUAAUAACCGUACCGAUUGACGUUACCCGCAGAAGAAGCACCGGCUAACUCCGUGCCAGCAGCCGCCGUAA
rnacentral:rRNA from 1 species